rnacentral:lncRNA from 1 species
UCCAGGGUCCCCAGGCCGUGGGAGGGUUGUCAGUUGCUCCAUGGUACUGCCAAGGGGCCCCAGAACCCGGGCCGGGGGACAUCACCCAGCCAGGUGGGGGGACUGGCGAGGGUCAUGCCAGGCCAGCCCCUCUCCCCUCUGAGCUCUUGCUUCACCGAUGCUCCAUCCAAGGUUGGCUGAACUCUUCCCCACCCACAAAGGAGGCUGCAGAAGGCGCCAGGGCUGCUGGAGCUGGAGCCAGGGGAAGUCGGCUGCUGGUUUCCAUGGUGAUGGCGCUGGACUGGUGGGCUGAACCGGCUGACAGGGUCGGGGACAGAAGGAAGAGCAGGUUUCUCACGGCAUGUCAGCCCAGGGCUCCCACAUGUGGCCUCCCACCCUCAUCUUCACACAUUCUCACACCUUCCGGAGUACAGAGGCGAGCGGGGUGCAGAUGGUCCUCCCUACAUCGGGUGAGACUGAUAGAGACAGAACGGGGGAGGGUAUGACAGAGAUCCAGCCACAGAGAAGGGCAGAACUAGAAAAGAUGGGACUUGAGAUGAAACAAAGAGAGAGACAGAAACCAAGAGAAAGAAACCAGGAAGACAAGCAAAGAGACAGGUAGAAAUAGACGGAGAAUUCCUUCUGCUUCCUCCUGGCAGAUUGCACUUGGGGGGCAACCUGGCUGUCCCAGGCCACCAGGGAAGCCCACAUGGCCUGUUGGGUUGGCUUUGUCCCGAAUUGCCUGGAAGUUCAUCUUCUGUCUAGCCUUAGAUCUUGUUGCUAAAUAAUUUGGGGGACAAGGACGUGAGAAUCCCCUCAGCCAGGAGUCAGUCUAUAUGCAGUGGCAGGGGUCUAGACAGAGUCCCCAGAGCCAGGGGUGGUGGGAGAAGCCCCGAGAGGCAGCCCCUCUCCCCUCUGAACCCGGGACUCAUUAGGCAAGCCAGUUUCAGCCAAGGUCGGGGGCCCUCGUGUGGCACCCCCACAGAAUAGCAGCGGUGAUACUGAACCCUAGAGCCCCUGACUGUGGGCUCCACCCAGGCAAGAGCCAAUGGAACUGGAGGUAGGGGGUGCAUGGGGAGGAGUGGACAUCUUCACUUCCCUAAAGCAGUGUGUAGGUCAACACGCACGCCACUGCAUGAUGUGUUGCUGUUUAGGUCAGAGUAUAUAUGCAUGCCAUUAUGUGCAUGCGUGUGUAUAGUAUGCAUCUAUAGAAUAGACAUUAUCUAUUUCUGUAUAUGUGAAGGGGCCAUUGUGUGUAUAUAUGUGUG